ACCGAAAUAGCUCAGUUGCGUUAGACUAUAGAUCGAAAGGUCCCUCGUUCGAUUCCGGGAUUCGGCA
rnacentral:tRNA from 1 species